GUCACUUCAGUCUUUUUGCUUCAUUAUUUUCCAAAAAAUUUGAAAAAUAAAUCUCUGAUACACAUAUCCCGUAGCCCCCGAGUCUUGAAUUUAAAUCUCUCCAUUUAGAUUUAAGAAUCAAAGAAAACUCAUGGUAGAAUAAGUAAUGAAAACUUCCCUAAAAAGGAAAGAAUCCGUUGAUCUCCCAAAUAUGCACAAAAUUGCCACCAGAGACCAUAUAAAUCCGUCUGGUAACUUGUGAGGGUUUUACCCUUUGAACUCCUGGCCACCAUCAAAUUCUCAUUCACACUUGCCCACUGCCGGUGCCAUCCAUAGCCCCUCUCAUAGCCCCCGAGCCUAAAGUCGUGACAUUGAGAUGGCUCCCAAGAAAGACAAGUCCAAAGUUGAAGAUGAAGCAGUUGCCAAUCUUUCAACGGGCUGGCGCAAGAGCAAAAUGUCUGAAUCAGCUGUGCAAGAACUGGAGAAUAUGGGUUUCCUCCAAACCCAGGUCGUGAUCCAAUGGCAUGCAGGUGAAGGAGAAGAUUACCCUAUGGAAGGUACCCUUGAAACCGUUGUUUUCCGUGAUUUCGUGGAACGCGGUCUUGCACUUCCUGUGUCAGAAUUCUUAUAUGCUCUCCUGCAAUUUUGGGGAAUCCAAUUACAUCAUUUCACUCCCCAAUCUAUCUUGCAUCUUUCUAUCUUUACUCAUUUCUGCGAAGCCUUCCAUGGGAUUCUUCCUCCUUUCCAUCUUUUCCAACAUCUCUUCAUCCUUGUGCCCGUUCCAAACGCUGCCAAACCCGCCAUCGUUGGUGGAUGUGAACUAAUGCUUCGCCCUAAAACCCGGCACGAGUACUUAGCUUAUGAUCCAGCGGGUAAAGGAAUUGAAUGGAAGAAAUUCUAGUUUCACGUUGGGAACUUUGAAUCUCCCCUUCCAGAAAGAAUUCCUGGCGCCCCUCAAGUCCAAGAAAACUGGUCGAGUUUAGGACCUGGUGGCCAACAAGUCGAGUGCAUCCUUAGAGUCAUUGCAAAGUUGAAAAGCAAAGGAGUUACUGGAGAUCACAUGGUAUUCUCCUUUGUGAGCCGUCGGGUCCAGCCUCUUCAACAUCGUCAACAUCCAGCCUUCCGAUAUGAAGGGACACAGGACCCUACUAGAAUGUCGCCAGAACCAAUGGCUCAAUCAAAAGCAGUCAAGAGAUGCUGCAAAGUACUUGAUAACUUCGACAAGUCUUUAAAGAUUCCAACACUCUUCUGGGCAAAGAAUCCUCCCGAGAAUUCAUGGAAAAAUUAUAAGACAUGGUAUUGUAUGCCUCUAACUUCGAUAGAUCUUGCUUCUGAUGAUAGCAAGAAACGGGAGGCCGCUCCUGGAGCUUAGCUGCAGAGGAAAAUACCUCGUCUUCAUGCUGGCCAGAUCCAAUAUCUUCCAGCAUAGGAGAAAGACCAAAUCCAGGACUUCUGUAACUGGAUGGAGAGUAGUCCAGAAGCAAGUACUCGAUCCACCCCUGAGUCUCCAGUAAUUGGGUUGAUCGAGAACUCGACUACUCUCUCCCCGAGUGUGGACAUGCCUGGGACGUCAAAGGAGCUGCCUCUUGAGGUACCCGCGUCUACUCCUUCUGCAGCUGGUGAAGGUACUUUAAACACUGUUGGAUGUGGCAAUGACAAAGCUGAAGGAUCAAGGAACCCAACUGUUCGACUAGUACCCUUUCAGUCGAUGCCGCAAUCUACCCAAGAGGAAUUGGGUAAAGAACUUUUUGAUGACCUUUGUUGUCUGUGGACAAUAUGAAGAAACUCGCAGAUUCUAUGCAAUGGUGCUUUAAAUAUACUAAGGAUGUUGCCAAUCGGUCUUUUUUGAAGACUCAUGCUUUGUAUAAGACUGUCGAUAAUCAAAAUACCUUGGAGCAACAGAAUGUCCUGAUUGCCAAACGACUAGAUGAAUCCCUUGCUGCUCGGAACAAGCUGUAUGAAGCAAACUGAAAGCAUCAUUUAGAACUUUGUGACAUGAAGCGGCGAAUCAAGAAUCUCGAGGAAGAAAAAUCAAAGCUCCAAGAAUAGUUGCAAAAUGCUCAAGCCUGUUCUGCAAGUGACCAUACUCGACUAGUAGCAGCAGCUCAGGUCAUCGUGGAUAUGGUAGAUUCUGAAGAGGGUCGUCGAGUAGCAAAUCCUUGGUAGAGCGUUUAGAAGAAGCUCCCAAAAAGUUUUUUGAUGUCAUGACGGCUACCUCAAAGAAUUAUUUAACCCAUAUGAUUGGAGUUGUCAAGUCAUACUUACCUCAGUUCAAUUUAGCUCCCAUAGCUAAAGGAAUAGCUCCUGAUUGCUCUGAUGAGAAAUUCCAGGACUAUUGUAAAGAAUCAGAAGUAAUCGCUGUGGAAAUUCUGAAGAACUUGGCAGAGUAAACUGCUUGUAACAACUCUUGUAAUCUUCCAUAAGAUUUUGUCUUUGUAGAUAUUGUUCUUA